rnacentral:lncRNA from 10 species
CUGACCUGCAGAAAUUGUGAGGAGACCCACAAAGUACUUAAGAUAAUUGUUUCAAUGAAGGUGCUACCAGCUUGGACUAAAAAGGACAGAGUACAUGUGAAAGGAGGCUGUCAAACUCCCAAAAUUCUACUGGCAGGAAAUACUGAUAAAACUACUCAGCUGCUACCUUUUAUGAAAAAGGAAGGGUGACUCAGAAAGCAGAACCAAGAACUAAGAAGGCGGAGCCUAGAGCCGCAUGGAAUUAUCCUUAUGUCUUGAAACCUCUUCCAGAAAUCAAACCUUUGCCUGGCUGGAUAUCACGGCUGCCAUGGAGCAGUGACUUCCUUUUAUCUUUCAUUUCCCCCCUUUUUGAACUGGACUGUCUAUAGAUGUUAUUUUUGGUCUGUCCCACGAAUUUAUAUUGAGUUUGUUGAAGGCAGAUAACUUGUGUCUUUAGUUUCACAGGAUCACAGAUGGAGAGGAAUCGUGCCUCAGGAGCUAGCUAUACUUAACAGAUUAUCGCCAGAAACCUCAUUUUUACCUAGACCUGAUUUAAAUGAUGAGAUUUUGAAUGUUGAGCUGGUUCUAUAAUGGGAUGAGACUCAGGAAAUUUGGGAGGGGGUGAAUUUAUUUUGCAUGUGAGAGAGACAUUAAUCGUUGGUGGCUGGAGAGUAGACUGCAGUAGACAGAAGCUAAAAUGGCCCUGAAGGUCUUCACUUUCAUGC